rnacentral:rRNA from 1 species
UGCCAGCCGCCGCGGUAAUACGAGGGGUGCUAGCGUUGUCCGGAUUCACUGGGUUUAAAGGGUGCGUAGGCGGAAAUUUAAGUCAGUGGUGAAAGCCUACAGCUUAACUGUAGAAUUGCCAUUGAAACUGAAUUUCUUGAAUCUAAUUGAAGUAGGCGGAAUAUGACAUGUAGCGGUGAAAUGCUUAGAUAUGUCAUAGAACACCGAUAGCGAAGGCAGCUUACUAAGUUAGUAUUGACGCUAAUGCACGAAAGCGUGGGGAGCGAACAGGAUUAGAUA